AUUGAACGCUGGCGGCAUGCCUUACACAUGCAAGUCGAACGGUAACGCGGGGCAACCUGGCGACGAGUGGCGAACGGGUGAGUAAUGUAUCGGAACGUGCCCAGUUGUGGGGGAUAACUGCUCGAAAGAGCAGCUAAUACCGCAUACGACCUGAGGGUGAAGGCGGGGGAUCGCAAGACCUCGCGCAAUUGGAGCGGCCGAUAUCAGAUUAGGUAGUUGGUGGGGUAAAGGCUCACCAAGCCGACGAUCUGUAGCUGGUCUGAGAGGACGACCAGCCACACUGGGACUGAGACACGGCCCAGACUCCUACGGGAGGCAGCAGUGGGGAAUUUUGGACAAUGGACGCAAGUCUGAUCCAGCAAUGCCGCGUGCAGGAAGAAGGCCUUCGGGUUGUAAACUGCUUUUGUCAGGGAAGAAAUCUUCUGGGCUAAUACCCCGGGAGGAUGACGGUACCUGAAGAAUAAGCACCGGCUAACUACGUGCCAGCCGCCGCCGUAA
rnacentral:rRNA from 1 species